CUGAGAAUCUGCGCUGGGUGGAGCGAGGCCGAGGCUGGCCUGAAUGACAGCACCGACGACGUGGGAGGGCGAGGGAAAGGAGGCGGCCCCCAGGCCAGGCUUGGGGCACUGACUCGGGCGCUGGCGGAGAUGCCGGUGGUUCCUUAUCUUUUCGUCAGUCCCUGCUUCCGGGUUCCGACUCGCGGUAGCCGGAGGGUGACACUGCCCCUUCGGUGUCGCCUGACCCUCGGCCGCUGUAGUAGGGUGGAAUGGGAGGCGCUGACCGCCAAGGCUGCGGGAGUGUAGUCACUGGGCCAGUAGAUAGUUGUCAGCCCGUAGGGAAUGAGGCCGCCUGAAAAACGAAUGAGUUCCAUCCCUUCAUGGAUCUUGGGAUUUUAAAAGUGUUCGAGUUAAAGGACCUUAAAGAGAUUGCUUGAUUCUGAAGCUGUUUUUACAGCUGAGCAUAACUAAGACCCAGAAGUUAAAUGUUACCGUGUCACCAGUAUUAAUGGUCUAGAAAUAAAUGGAAUCCAGUUCUCGUGAUUCCCAUUUCAGAAAUGUUGGAAACAGCAGCUGCUUCUUUAUCCUGGACACCAUCUAUGGCAUAAAAUGCAGCCACAACAGGGAAAGGAAAAAAAAGAAAAGAAAAUACCAUACUGUGGGAGUUUAUGUGUUAUCUUUGCAUAUAAAUUUAUAAGAAUUAGUCCCAUUGGAAAAAGUGAAGAUAAAAGAGGACUAAAAAUGAAUCCUGGAGUGGGUCAAAAGAAAAAGUGGGUCAAAAGAAAAAAAGCCAGCAAAAAAGAGUGAAAAAAAAAACAGAAGAGGAAAACUAAAAAAGAGGAGUAAUGUGGAAGCUAAGAGGAAAGAGAGAAAGCCAAGGGAUUGAAUGGAAGAGUCAGAUUCUGCAGAAAGAAAUCCAAAGUGACUCUCCCACAACAGUUCCCCACACUCUUGUUUUUGAUGAAUGAAGCUGCCCUCUUUUAAGGAUCACGAGGCAGGCACUACCUUCAGGAAAGAGGCCCAGCAAAAAGGUACGGGAAGAAA